ACUCAAAGGAAUUGACGGGGGCCCGCACAAGCGGCGGAGCAUGUUGCUUAAUUCGAGGCAACGCGAAGAACCUUACCUGGGUUUGACAUUCUGGGAAAAGCCACAGAGAUGUGGUGUCCGAAAGGGUCCAGAACAGGUGGUGCAUGGCUGUCGUCAGCUCGUGUCGUGAGAUGUUGGGUUAAGUCCCGCAACGAGCGCAACCCUUGUCCUAUGUUGCCAGCGGGUAAUGCCGGGGACUCGUAGGAGACUGCCGGGGUCAACUCGGAGGAAGGUGGGGACGACGUCAAGUCAUCAUGCCCCUUAUGUCCAGGGCUGCAAACAUGCUACAAUGGCCGGUACAAAGGGCUGCUAUACCGCGAGGUUGAGCGAAUCCCAAAAAGCCGGUCUCAGUUCGGAUUGGAGUCUGCAACUCGACUCCAUGAAGUCGGAGUCGCUAGUAAUCCCGGAUCAGCAACGCCGGGGUGAAUACGUUCCCGGGCCUUGUACACACCGCCCGU
rnacentral:rRNA from 1 species